rnacentral:rRNA from 1 species
CGCGGCCUAUCAGCUUGUUGGUGGGGUAAUGGCCUACCAAGGCUUCGACGGGUAGCCGGCCUGAGAGGGUGACCGGCCACACUGGGACUGAGACACGGCCCAGACUCCUACGGGAGGCAGCAGUGGGGAAUAUUGGACAAUGGGCGAAAGCCUGAUCCAGCAACGCCGCGUGAGGGAUGACGGCCUUCGGGUUGUAAACCUCUUUCAGCGCCGACGAAGCGAAAGUGACGGUAGGCGCAGAAGAAGCACCGGCCAACUACGUGCCAGCAGCCGCGGUAAUACGUAGGGUGCGAGCGUUGUCCGGAAUUAUUGGGCGUAAAGGGCUCGUAGGCGGUUUGUCGCGUCGGGAGUGAAAACUCAGGGCUUAACUCUGAGCUGGCUUCCGAUACGGGCAGACUGGAGGUAUGCAGGGGAGAACGGAAUUCCUGGUGUAGCGGUGAAAUGCGCAGAUAUCAGGAGGAACACCGGUGGCGAAGGCGGUUCUCUGGACCUUUCCUGACGCUGAGGAGCGAAAGCGUGGGGAGCAAACAGGCUUAGAUACCCUGGUAGUCCACGCCGUAAACGGUGGGCACUAGGUGUGGGGGACAUUCCACGUUCUCCGUGCCGUAGCUAACGCAUUAAGUGCCCCGCCUGGGGAGUACGG